rnacentral:lncRNA from 1 species
AUGUCUGUAGGGUUCGUUUGCCAGGUUCUGAGCUCGGGCUCCGGGAGGGGCUGUCAUGUGGACAAGGUCGUCAGUUGGGGUACUGGAUGGAGUGAGGUAUUGGGGGAGCGCAAGUCCGAGCUGGAGAGGUGGGGGUGGUUCGAUGCCCCGGAAGCUGGUUAUUGGGAGCCAGCAGCGGGUGAUUUUCCAGCACCGACUUGGAGGGGGGAGGACGGGGGCGCUGGAAGGACCGUGCCCAGCAGCGCCAAGGCCGGAGACCGCGGCGGCUGGGACCUCAGGCACCACUCCGUGGCCUGGAAAACGGGGCUUUGGGGAGGCAAGGAGAUGAUGAUUCAAUGGGAUCCCCGUCCUUCUGCUAAUGCAAGCAUUUUUACAAAGCUCUAUGUGGUCCCUGGGAUACACUCCAUCUGGAGCUGAGGAAACUAGGGAAUAGCUAUGCUGCCUAAGAAGGACACAUUUCAGCCCAAGCUCACAGCAUCUUCUGCCACCACUGGACCCCAUUUGGUCAGUAAUGCCAAACCUUGAUGCAGAAACAAGCAUUCCCCAUCUUCAGACAAGCAAGUCUUACCCAGGCUGUCAGCUCACCAGAUGUCCUAAGCUGACCUUCUUCGGCUCUGGUGAAUUCAGCUGCUGGAAUUCCAAAGGAACCCCAUCUACGUCACUAAGCCUAUAGGACAACAACACACCCUAAGAAACCUCAACUGCAGGGCUCCCAUCCAAUGGGGAAAUCUUACGACCUGCAUGGGCAGGGCCAGGGAUGGCUCAAAUGGGCUGGCACAUGGCAAGCUUCAAGGUGUUAAGACAUCUCAAGCGUUGCUGACACCAUUUUAUCCACCACCUUACUCAACAAGAAUAACAGGAAUGAUCUGUAAAAGUGACACUAAUGAUUGCAAUUAAAAAAAAAAAAAAUCCCCUUUCCCAAACCAGGAGAAUCUUGACCAGUAUGUAGGAACCCAGAGUUAUGUUGCCUUCUGAUUGCUGCCUUCUGAUCAACAGAUCACAGUUUAUCCUCAAAUGUGGACCCUUGGUAUCUUAGUUUAGUAUCCGAUUUGUGUUCUAUGAGAAAAUUUCUGGUUGUAACUCCCAGUUGAGGUCUGAUUUUUCCCCAUUGAUGUUUCAACUGGAGUGUCAAUGAGUUACAGAUGCCUUGUGGAAAAUCCCCACACUGAUUCUACUGGAGAAUUCCACCUUUUGACUCUGACCCACCUGGGGCUGUGAGGUAACCAAUUAAGAUAAGGACAGAUGGAGUUCACGUCAUGGCUCAGUGGUUAAUGAAUCUGAUUAGCAUCUAUGAGGACACGGGUUCAAUCCCUGGCCUUAAUCAGUGGGUUAAGGAUCCGGUGUUGCCAUGAGCUGUGGUGGAGGUUGCUGACGUGGCUCGGAUCCUACAUUGCUGUGGCUGUGGUGUAGGCCAGCAGCUACAGCUCCAAUUUGACCCCUAGCCUGGGAAGCUCCAAAUGCUGCAGGUGCGGCCCUAAAAAAAAAAAAGCAAAAAAGUAAGGACAGAACAUACACUGAAGGUCUCCGCUCCCAUUUACUGGGGCUCUGAAUUAAAUCAUAACAUAAAACCCUCAGGCAUAAAUCCCCCCAAAGCCAUUUAGGGGCCAGUUUACAGAAUUACACUUAGGAAAAAAAAAAAUCCCCCCUCCUCACAGAGGUCUGCCAGGUCUGUGUGACACGGCCCCUGCCUUGCCCUCCAAUCUCAUCUAGAACAACCUUCAUUCACUCCAUGCCAGCCACACUGGCCUUCUUCUGUUCCUCAAUUAUGCCAAGCCACUUCUCAAGUUGGGCCUUUGUACUCACUGUUCCCUCCUUCCCCCAGACCUUGACCCAUUGACUUAUCUUCAUGAUCAAGACCUUCUCGGGGAGCUCCCGCCGUGGCUCAGUGGUUAACGAAUCCGACUAGGAACCGUGAGAUUUCGGGUUCGAUCCCUGGCCUUGCUCAGUGGGUUAAGGAUCCGGCGUUGCUGUGAGCUGUGGUGUAGGUCGCAGACGUGGCUCAGAUCCCGUGUUGCUGUGGCUCUGGCGUUGGAAACUAGUUUCCUAGCCUCGGAAACUCCACAUGCCACAGGAGCAGCCCUAGCAAAGACAAAAAAAAAAAAAAAAAAAAAAAAAACCUGCUCAAACAGCACCCAGGGAAGCCUGUCCUGUCCCGCAUGCCAUGUGGCUUCCCUCCUCCUUGCCCCUCAGUCAUUUUUUGCCACAUUACUUGGUUUUAUUUUCUAUGGAGCAC